UCUUCAAGGAAAUAUAUCUUGUUUUGUCAAAAACUGGAAUCAUUCAAAGCAGGUCUAAUGAUUUUCAUUAAAGUGUUUUUUUUUUCAAUUUCAAAUAAAUAUAGGGUUGGGUUGUCCAAGUUGUUUUUCUGUUUAAGGUGAUGGAGUUAAAGAAAAUUGGAGGAACUGGAUUAAAAAAUGUCGUUUACAAUCUGCUCACUAAGAUCUCAAAGUUCUUAACCAAUGAGAUCACUGAAAAGUACAGUUGGUUUGGAGCUAAGGGCAAAUGAGCCUCAACCUGCUCUGACUAAAGUGGCCUAAUCAAAAAUAUUGUAUGCUGUCAUUUCAAUGAUGCCACGGAUGUGAACAUAGAAGUUCUGGUAAAGAAAUGACUGUCAAAAGCCAAGGAAAGGCUGCAGAGAGAUGCCACGUAAAAAAAAAAAAACUAUGGACUAUUGGAUGAAAAUGGAGUAUCAAUUCCUGAUAAAAACUAAGUGACAACAUUAUUAAAUUGUUAAUAUAUCUAUUGUUACAUUUUGAUACAUUAUUAUAUUGUUAAUUGUUCCAAUAUAUAUAUAUAUAUAUAUAUAUUUACCAGUGGAAUUGAAACCAUCUGUGUAAAUUAUUGGAAUAGAUAUCAAAAAUUGCUAAUAAAAGAGUAUGUAUCCCUCACAAGAAGCAAAUUUGUUUGCCGUGACCUGUGAGUCACAUCCCACACAGCACAUAAGCUUAAACCAAGUUUGUUUUUUAUUAGUUUUCAAUGCUGUCAAGCAAGUUUGUCACUACAAGUCAGUUUCAAGUUGAUUAUAGACCUGUUUCUAAUGCCGGGUCUACACGACAACGAUAUUUGCGCAAACUUGGCUCAAAGCCAGGUUUACGCAAAUCUGGCUUUGAGCCAAGUUUGCUCAAGCCUCUGUUCACACGACACCAACUUCAACACAAACCUGUAUUAUAAACUAAAUCAUAUAUAAAUUAUAUACGAAAUCUUUGAAGUGUUUAUAAACUUGAGAUGAAUAGUAAAUCAAGCCUCCACCUCCUCCUCCCCCACCACGACCACCUCCUCCUCCACCACCAC